UUGAACUCUCAAACCCUCAACGUGAUCAUGGUCUUGACUCCAGCGCAACUUCUGCUGCAUGUCUUACUUCCAUCGUAGUUUAUUUUGCACACUUAUAUCAACAUAUGGAUUAGAUAACAAAUAACAAUUGACUUCAUCAUCAAAAUUCGAGAUUCAACAAUCUCCCCCUUUUUUAUGAUGAUAAUCAAUUGAUAAUGGAGUUAACCUUAACUCCCCC
rnacentral:lncRNA from 1 species